AUGCGCGNCCUANCAUGCAGUCGAGCGAAUGAUGAGGAGCUUGCUCCUCUGAUUUAGCGGCGGACGGGUGAGUAACACGUGGGUAAUCUGCCUGUAAGACGGGGAUAACUCCGGGAAACCGGGGCUAAUACCGGAUAACAAGAGAAGAUGCAUAUCUUCUUUUUGAAAGUCGGUUUCGGCUGACACUUACAGAUGAGCCCGCGGCGCAUUAGCUAGUUGGUGAGGUAACGGCUCACCAAGGCGACGAUGCGUAGCCGACCUGAGAGGGUGAUCGGCCACACUGGGACUGAGACACGGCCCAGACUCCUACGGGAGGCAGCAGA
rnacentral:rRNA from 1 species